rnacentral:lncRNA from 1 species
CACGAUCUCGGCUCACUGCAACCUCUGCCUCCCGGGUUCAAGCGGUUCUUCUGCCUCAGCCUCCCAAGUAGCUGGGAUGAUAGGCACGUGCCACCAUGCCUGGCUAAUUUUUUGUAUUUUUAGUAGAGAUGGGGUUUCACCAUAUUGGCCGGCAGGAUGGUCUCGAACUCCUGACCUUGUGAUCUGCUUGCCUCGGCCUCCCAAAGUCCUGGGAUUACAGACGUGAGCCACUGUGCCAGGCCUUUUUGUUUUGUUUUGUUUUUGAGAUGGAGUUUCGCUCUUAUUGCCCAGGCUGGAGGCAGUCGCAUGAUCUCGGCUCACUGCAACCUCUGCCUCCCGGGUUCAAGCAAUUCUGCCUCAGCCUCUGCCACCAUGCCUAGCUAAUUGUGUAAUUUUAGUAGAGACAGGGUUUUUGCAUGUAGGUCAGGCUGGUCUCAAACUCCCGACCUCAGGUGAUCCACUGCCUCAGCCUCCUAAAGUGCUGGGAUUACAGACGUGAGCCACUGCUCCUGACCCCCUCAUUACUUUUACCUGCAUGUUAUUCAUGUUCCCUCCUUGAAGCAGCAGAGCCCAGGCCAGAUGUGUGUGUCAGUGGUCACUGUGAUCUCAGAGGGGCUCCUCUGAGGGAAGUAUCUGUUCCCUUGCAAACAUCCUUAACUGUCAGGAGCCUGUGUAACACAGCUGGGGAUAGAAGGGUGCGGAAAGGCUCCUUUCCCCACCUUUCCAGUUGAGCCAUCUCCUCCCCAGCCCUUCACACAUCCUACUUUCCAGUCCUGCAGCCUACAUGGCUUUGCAGUGCCCAGGGCUUCCAUAAACCCCUGAACUAGCCUGUCACUGCAUGUCCACGUUGUUUUCUUUUCUUUCUUUCUAUUUUUUUUUUUUUUUUAGCAGGGGUGGGGAGUGAUGGGUACAGGGUCUCACUCUGUUGCCCAGGCUGGAGUACAGUUGUACCAUCAUGGCUCACUGCAGCUUCAAUCUUCCUAGGCUCAAGCUAUCCUUCCACCUCAGCCUCUUGAAUAGCUGGGACUACAGACAUGCACUAUCAUGCCUGGCUAAUUUUUUCUUUCUUUCUUUUUUU